ACCACUCCGUUAUUUUGGUGUAAUGCUUGCCUCCACUUUGUUACCAGUCCUUACCAAGCGGUAACAAGGAUGUUACCCUUUAACCCAAAACAAAAAAGGCAGCAAUCUCUCUUCUCUUCCUCUCCCAUCCCCUUUCUGCCUACUGUUCAUCUCUCUUAAUUGCUCUGCAAAUUCUUUUAGAUAAUUGGGUUGACAUUUCAGUGAAAGAGUUAUUUUCUGUUCUUUGAUUUUAGAAUUAUUGGCAGCUCUACUGUGCAUGAUGAUUGCACUCUAUUUGUCAAAACCUUUAUGGGGUGAUGCUACGAAUGCUGACUCUGGUGACCUGAGAAUGCCUCUGUACGACAAGCUGGAAAAGAUUAUUUGGGGACUUAUUACCUCUGAAGGCCGGUCAGAGGCUAGAUUGUGGCUUUGUGAGUCUAUUUCAAGCUGCCAAUAUAAUUCUAUUUCAAGCGGGAUCUACGUACAUUAUUGCUAAUGCUUCAAGAUCUUCUUACUAGAAGAAAAAGAUCUCUAAACUUUGAUGAUACAUCUUAAUUCUUAUUGGCUGGAGAAUUGUGAUUUGCAAGUGUGGUGACCAAGUAUCUAUUGAUCAGUUAUUUCUGUUGAUCGCACUGUUUAACAAAGGAAGGCUACUUUUGCGGUUGGUACAUAGUGAAGAAACCGAGGAGGAGAAGGUUAAAAUUGAUGAUUUAUUUUUAGGGAUCUGUACACAUACAAGUGAAGCCAAGAGUUUGGCCUCGAUUUCCAACCAACUCUUGAAGUCAAAGACUAUUCAAGUGAUGAAAUGGCUUGGUCUUCUUUCAUGGAUCCUUCUUUACAGGUUGUCAAAAGAAUAUCAUACUUCUGAAUCCUGGGAAGCUCUGUUUGUCAGUAAUUAUAUUGGGUUUCGGAAAUCUGAUAUAUACGGUACAGAACUUGAUGGAACUUCAGAGAAGAAUGAAUUGGACUUCGGUGAAAAGUGAAAACACAGCAAAUAAAGCUAAACGUAAAAGGAGUCAAAACAAGAGAAAAAAAGGGACAAGAAAUCGAGAUUUUGAUGAAUUCAGUGAUGAGGACUUGCUUGACCUUGACUAUUCAGAUGAUAAAUACAAUCUCCACUCUAGUUCUGUUAGCUGGUUGCUUUCUAGUGACGGCUACGCGACUUCUUGGAGCUUGGCUGAUAUACCGGAAUAUUUAUCAAAGCAUUGUCUCAGAGAAUGGAUGAAGCAGAGUUUUCAAUUUAUGUGAAUUUCACAAAAUAUACGGGUUUGAGGAUGAGAAGUGCAGCCGCACAAGUCUGUUGCCAUCUUAAGCGCCAUCAUACUUGUGAUUAUUUUUUGAAAUUGGGACACAGGAAGUACCAUUCACCAAGGUCAAACUGUGCUCUAGUAAAAGAAGUUGUGAUUAACUGGUCAGAUACUUGGAUGAUGUGAUACUCUAGUAAAAGAAGUUGUGAAUUCUCCUUGAUUUCUUCUUUGAUGCAUACUUGUAUGUUGCUGCAUAAAAUUGUAGAGGUAAGGUUAUAGGCCCUCGCCAGAAGGGGGUAAGGGAUAAAUGAGGAUUGUAUCGGCCAUUUAACCAAAUUGGUAAACAAAGUGAAUGUUUGGUGACAAAUUGGUAAAAUAGUGUAACAAGCGACAAUUUGGUCACAACGGCGACAAAUAAGUCACAAAACUGAUCGGAAUUGAGAAACUCAACCGCGUGAGUUGGCGCUCCUAAUACUGUGGUUUUUUGAAUUUUUUUCCUCAUUUAAUUAAACACUAUUCUUGAUUAAUUUGACAUUUGAAAUGACAAAAGCAAGAAAAAUAACUUCGAAAUUCAUCUGUACCCGAGUCAAAUCAUUGUGAUAAUGUUAUUUUUCCCUUGUUUUUGUUGAGUAGACUCAUUAACUAUGCUUCAUUGAACGAAUCUUCAACAAUGGUGUCAGAAGAAAAAUGGAAGAGAAGGAGAAGAGGCCAAGGGAGGAAAUCAAUUAGAUUUUUUUGUUUUGACAAUAUUAAUAAGGAAAUUAAAUUGGAGAAAUGAGGAAAACAAUUGGAAAAUACGAUAUU